UGAAGCGGCAACAGCUCAAAUUUGAAAUCUGGCUCUUUCAGAGUCCGAGUUGUAAUUUGCAGAGGGCGCUUUGGCGUUGGCAGCGGUCCAAGUUCUUUGGAACAGGACGUCACAGAGGGUGAGAAUCCCGUACGUGGUCGCUAGCCUUCGCCGUGUAAAGCCCCUUCGACGAGUCGAGUUGUUUGGGAAUGCAGCUCUAAAUGGGAGGUAAAUUUCUUCUAAAGCUAAAUACUGGCCAGAGACCGAUAGCGCACAAGUAGAGUGAUCGAAAGAUGAAAAGCACUUUGGAAAGAGAGUCAAAUAGCACGUGAAAUUGUUGAAAGGGAAGCGCUUGCAGCCAGACUUGCCUGUAGUUGCUUAUCUGGACUUUUGUCCAGUGCACUCUUCUGCGGGCAGGCCAGCAUCAGUUUGGGCGGUUGGAUAAAGGUCUCUGUCAUGUACCUCCUUUCGGGGAGGCCUUAUAGGGGAGACGACAUGCAACCAGCCUGGACUGAGGUCCGCGCAUCUGCUAGGAUGCUGGCGUAAUGGCUGUAAGCGGCCCGUCUUGAAACACGGACCAAGGAGUCUAACAUCUAUGCGAGUGUUUGGGUGUCAAGCCCAGACGCGUAAUGAAAGUGAACGGAGGUGGGAACCUUUUAGGUGCACCAUCGACCGAUCCUGAUGUCUUCGGAAGGAUUUGAGUAAGAGCAUAGCUGUUGGGACCCGAAAGAUGGUGAACUAUGCUUGAAUAGGGUGAAGCCAGAGGAAACUCUGGUGGAGGCUCGCAGCGGUUCUGACGUGCAAAUCGAUCGUCAAAUUUGGGCAUAGGGGCG
rnacentral:rRNA from 1 species